AAAAAAAUUUUUCUAAUUUACAACCUUUUAAAAUUGGAAUUUUGAGUUCCGCUUUUGGCAAGAGUUAGGUUUGGGCAUUUUCUGAAAUAUUUUGAUAU